UCUCUCUCUCUCUCCACCUCACCCCUCUAUCCCUGGCCUCUAUAUUUAGCAGCAGUUGGAGCGUGCAACUCAAACCCUACACCUUCUUCUUUCCGUCUCAAAACCCCCACUAAUUCAGCAGAUCUUCGCCAAGUUUAGCGACGAUUUCCCACCCAGAAGUGGGAAAAAAAAUAAAAGAGGUAGCUGUUGUGGUGGAGUAGUUUUUUCAGCUGUGUUUGUUUUUAUGCCAACUCAAAAAGUGGUUGUUGGGUUGCUGAGAGAAAAAAAAAAUAAGGGGUGUGGGGCAUAGAGAUCAAUUUGAAGAGGACUGGAUUGAUCUAGUAAAGAUCAACUCCUCUUCUCCUAAAUAAGUACUGCUCCAUUCUUCCUCCUCUUCAUUCAAUUCCUGACACAGUUAUCCAACUGCAACAAGCAGUGUUUCCAGCACUGGAAGUCCGUCGGCAUUGCAACGAUGGUUUACGUCCGGCACCGGCACCGGCACCCGGCAAUGACCAUCACGACCACCCCACCGCCGUUUUGCAUGCACCCAACCGGAUGAUGUAGAGAAUUAAAAUCAGAAUUAGCAUGAUAUAUAGUUAGCUUGCCCUUAUUAUAUUAUCAUACAAUAUAUACAUGCAUAGGCGUUGGUGCAUAUACACGCUUGAUGACUGCAUCCAUUCAUGUACGCAUAUAUGCCAUGUGAUAGCAUACGUAUUCACGUAUGUGCCUGGCUCCCUGUAUGCCAUUUGCAGAGCCCAUCGGCACAUCGAUGGUCUUCGUGGAUGGCGUGCGAGGAGCCAUGCAUAUUGCAUGCUGUAUGCAGCAUCUAUAUACGUUACUGCAUCUGCUUUUAAUUGCUGUUAAUUUUCUUCUUCUUCUUCUUCUUCUCUCUCUCUAGAACAUUCUGUACUCUUUGUUCAUUUCUAUUAGAAGAUUAUAUAUAGUAGAUCCAUAAAGCAGCAGCAUCGUCGUUGUUCUGAAAGUGCAGGUCAUCUCAUGAACCACCAUCAGGUAUUGUCAUUCUUCACCAAUUAAAGUAAAUUAGGGUUUCUCCUCAUCGCAUGAUAUAAUCGAUGCACUCAUCACCACCACUUCUACAUGACUGAGGGUUCUGCUUCACACCUUGUCUAUGUAUAAUUUGUAAUACACUUGGUUUUAAUUAUUACCAAUUAGUUUAACUUGUCCAACGCAUGGGCCGUAAAACUCACAAGUUGAAUCAACAGCAUUAUCAAAUCUGUGUAGAUCUAGAGCGUGGGAUCAAUGCGAGAUGCAAUCCAUCAACUGCGUCCGGCCGGUCUGGCUUAUGCAAGAGUCAUCAGACUAAAGUUAGCCCAUGAUGGGCGAAUGGCCAGUCAUGUAAAAUAGGGGGAGAUCCAGCAUCAAGUGGGACCCAUUGGAUAUCUGAUGAAAAUAAUCGGAUCGGAUUGGGUUUUGGUUUAACUCCACCUAUCUAUCAAACAUUCCUUUUGGAUGAUCAGAGGAAAGUACUCAGAAAGGAUGGAUUCCACUCCUUGCCUGUAGAGUGUAGAUAGAGGACUAAGAUAUGCCACAGCGGAAAUGGAAUUUCUGUGUUUCUAAUCCAAGUCUUAUAGCUAGCAUGGGCAGGGCCUCCAUUUUAUAAUAUAAUGUGAUGUAUGUUCCAUAAUUCAUAGACAUUGAUUGAUUGAUUGAUUGAUUAGCGAAGCUUAUAUCUACUGGCAACAAAGGAAGCAAUUAAAUGCCAUUGGUAUGAUGAUAAGCCAUGCUUCAGUUUCUGAAUCCUUUCAUUGGUGUUUCAUUGCCUGGAGAUCAUGAAGCGUCCAACUCAAGUAGUUCAAUCUUCCCUCCUUACUGCAUGUAAAUUGGAACAAUUUGAAUCUUUUCUCUUUAAGAUAUAGAGGUUUAUGAGAUA